rnacentral:rRNA from 1 species
UAAUAUAAAGAGUUUACACCCAUAAAAAUUUUAUUAACCAAUCAAAAACUAAAAACUAAUUAAAAUUAGACUUAUAAAAAAUAUAAUUAAAUAUAAAAUCAAAAGUCUAUAUAAGUUUAAUGUAAGUAAAGAUAUACUUCUUUUACCUUUUGUAUCAGGGUUAAUUAAUAAUUAAAAGGAUACUUCAAUGUCUCGAAAUUUAUUAACAUAUAAAAAUUUUGUGUUAUUACCAUCUAAAAGGUAAAAUAAAUAAAUUUUUAGAUUUGAGAUAAAAUCAUGUUUUAAAUAUCUAGUUAUUAAAUAAGCUAAUUUAAUUAGAUAUUGUUUUAUUUUUAAAUAAUCUAAAUUACAAAUUUAAACAAUAAAAAACUUUAAAAGUUAACUGUUAAAGUAAAAUAAAUCAGAACAUUUCUAUAUACCUAAAUAAAGUUAAUACUAUUUAAUAUAAAAACAUAUAAAAAUAUAGAAAUUCAAUUUCAAAUUUUAGAUAAAAAUUAUCUCAACAUUUAAUUAAAUCUAAAUUAAACUAAAUAAGCUAAAAUGAUUAUAUAAAUAUACAAUUUAUAUUUAGAUUAAUAAUUAGGCAAUUAACUAGUUUCCACCUGUUUACCAAAAACAUAGCCUAAAGAAGAAAAUUUUAGGUAAGUUCUGCUCAAUGACAAAUUUAAAUAGCUGCAGUAAAUUAACUGUACUAAGGUAGCAUAAUAAAUUGCUUUAUAAUUAAAAGCUAGAAUGAAAGAAACCAUGUGAAACAAACUUUUUAAACUAAAAAAGUAAAAAUUAAUAUUUAAGUGAAAAAUCUUAAAUUAAAUCAAAAGACAAGAAGACCCUUUAGAACUUUACAAAUCAACUUAUUCUCAUUAAAUUGACUUGUUAAGUUGGGGAGAUUUUUAAAUAAAUAAAUCUUUAAAUAUAAUAAAAUGAUUUACCUCAAAUUAAAUUAUCCAGAUAGGAAUUAAAACAAGUUACCUAAGGGAUAACAGCGCAAAAUUUUUGAGAAGCUCUUAUUCCCAAAAUAAAUUGCGACCUCGAUGUUGGAUUAAGAAUAACUUAUAAAGAAAAAUUUAUAAGAAUUGGUCUGUUCGCCCAAAUAACUCUUACAUGAUCUGAGUUCAGACCGGCGUAAGCCAGGUCAGUUUAUAUCUUUGAUUAAUACCACUACACUACAGUACGAAAGGACCUAGAAAAGUAAAUUUUUU